GACGAACGCUGGCGGCGUGCUUAACACAUGCAAGUCGAACGGAAAGGCCCUGCUUUUGUGGGGUGCUCGAGUGGCGAACGGGUGAGUAACACGUGAGUAACCUGCCCUUGACUUUGGGAUAACUUCAGGAAACUGGGGCUCAUACCGGAUAGGAGCUCCUGCUGCAUGGUGGGGGUUGGAAAGUUUCGGCGGUUGGGGAUGGACUCGCGGCUUAUCAGCUUGUUGGUGGGGUAGUGGCUUACCAAGGCUUUGACGGGUAGCCGGCCUGAGAGGUGGACCGGCCACAUUGGGACUGAGAUACGGCCCAGACUCCUACGGGAGGCAGCAGUGGGGAAUAUUGCACAAUGGGCGGAAGCCUGAUGCAGCAACGCCGCGUGCGGGAUGACGGCCUUCGGGUUGUAAACCGCUUUCGCCUGUGACGAAGCGUGAGUGACGGUAAUGGGUAAAGAAGCACCGGCUAACUACGUG
rnacentral:rRNA from 1 species